AUGGCUGUCGUCAGCUCGUGUUGUGAAAUGUUGGGUUAAGUCCCGCAACCGAGCGCAACCCUUAUCCUUGUUGCCAGCGGUCCGGCCCGGGGAACUCAAAGGAGACUGCCAGUGAUAAACUGGAGGAAGUGGGGAUGACGUCAAGUCAUCAUGGCCCUUACGACCAGGGCUACACACGUGCUACAAUGGCGCAUACAAAGAGAAGCGACCUCGCGAGAGCAAGCGGACCUCAUAAAGUGCGUCGUAGUCCGGAUUGGAGUCUGCAACUCGACUCCAUGAAGCCGGAAUCGCUAGUAAUCGUGGAUCAGAAUGCCACGGUGAAUACGUUCCCGGGCCUU
rnacentral:rRNA from 1 species